UAGAGUGGCCUUUGGCUGGACUUUUCUUGUAUAGCCACAGCAGAACCACUGGUGUUCCAGUGACACAGAGACUGCAUUCUAGGGGGAGGCGAUGGCUCAGAGCCAGGAGAGUGCAGUGAUGUGGAGGAGUGAACAGAGACGACGGGUGAGGAGGGUGGUGGUGGUGCCCUCCGCUUCGAAGAAGAGGAAGAGGAAGAUGAUCUCUGUUCAAGAGACCCCUCGGCCCCAGGGGGUGAAAUUUGGGGGGGACAGGUGUCCCAAAAGGAGAGGGACUGUGCUCUUUCUGGAACUGGACAAAGUAUCCUUAAAGGGAAAAACCCUAGAAGCAGCUCUGAUCCAUGUGCAGUGGUGAGAGCACUGGACAUGGAAGGAAGAAGU